UAGCUGAAGACCAUCUUGCUAAUUACCAGGUGGCACCUGCCACCUUAUAUCUAGGCAGCUGACUGCAUGUCUCCCAAUUCUCCACCUGUUGCGGAGAACCUACUUGGUUGUAGUGGCGAGGGAGCAGCAGGUUGUUUGGGCUGGUGCUGUCCUGUUGGGUGUUUGAGGAACAAUCCUGAGUACGUUUGUCAGAUGGUUCAGCAGUGAGUCAUUUGCUCUCAUUCGAGCUUCUGCUUAAGGCCUCGAAUCCAAUUCAGUGUAGAACUGUGGCCGUGCCCCUCCUCCACAUGCAGGGGACAACGGUACCUCAGCGAACCCGGAACUGGUGGUUGACCAUCUUCAAGCUUGCUGCUCCCACGCCACCUGAUGCUGUCGCCCUGUCUUCUGCUGCUGCUUAUGUUUUAUGUUUAUACCGUGUUUGUCCACGUCUUGAA